ACACUAUAUGAGGAAAUUGUGAGGAAAAUGUUUUCUCUAGACAUGUUUUUAGAUUUAGAGAGAAACCAAUAGUAAUACAAACCCCAGUGUGAGGAUCCAGUGACAGCAACAGAAAGAUGCACUGUGACUGUUCAUGGCAGUCAAACUCUCAAUGCCUGAUGGAGAGAGACAGGCUAGUAAAUAGAAGUUAAUCGGUCAGAGAGCGUGAAAACGUCCACAGCUCCAUAGAGGCCUGCACAUCCGAGGCCCCUGGAGAUCACCCCUAGACCUGAUGCCGUCUUACACAACGCCAGCUUUUCUGAGGGCACCAACUCAGCUACCAGCUGGUGUUCUUGUCAUCUUGUGCAGGAGAAUAGAAAAAGGAAAGCUAAAAUAUAAUUUCAAGACUGAGUAUAACAGGCUGUUGGUACACCAUGAGGAAGACUUGGAGGGGAGGAAUAAGAGGUUGCUGAAGUCCUGAGCAUUACUUAUCUUCACCAAGAGAUGGUGGAACUUUGCCCAAUGUCUUCACAAUUAAAGAUGGCAUCUCUUCUCCAUUCUGACAUGAAGAAAUAUGUACCCCCUGGAUAGAGGGAGAAAUCCACAUAUGAAAGUCACUCAAGGACAAAGUUUGUCAGGGUAGUUUGGAAAUACAGCUUGAAUGCUGGCAAGAAGAGAGGGUAACUGAAGUCUGCCAAUUUGCUGGUGCCUCAUGUGGCUUGGAACCAACUUCAUCUGCAAAAGUGACAUUCCAUUUAAGCUGCUUGUCCUCCAUAAUUUAACUGGACACAUUUUCA
ensembl:lncRNA